UGUUUGGGCCAGAAUUUGCCAAGCAAGGAAACCUCCUGCUGUUGGGACUUUGAAGGAGCCCAGGACUGGGUCCUAGAAAAAGGAAAAAGAGUGGAUUUUGGUGCCUUCCAAAGCGAAGGCAAACCUCAAGCCGGGAUCUGACACCGUCUCGAGAAGCUCUGUCACACCACCAGCCAUUCAAUAGAAAGUUCCAGUUGGUGUCUUGAGGUUAUGUGACUGUCCAGCCCUUGGUCCAACGAGCAAACUGUGUUCUCCAGACCAGCAGCAUCACAAUCAACCCACAGCUUAUUAGAAAAGCAGAAUCUUAGGACCUACCUCAGUCCCACCAAAUCAGAAUCCUGAUGAACAAUAUCCCCGGGUGAUUAUGAAUCAUAUAUGGGAAGACACGCUUGAAAGGAUACCACCUUUAUAAUAUACAGGCUUGAAAUUUCUCAGAAUUAAAAAAAAGAGGGGAGCGCAAUCAUCUGUGAAUACAUUUUAAGGCACAAGGAACUACUCCAGGAGACCUGGAACCAGUGGACCAAGUGGUAACAGCUGGGGUAACCUUGAACCUUCCCAGCCACAGUGGUUAUCUCUGUUUCUCUGGCUGAUUUCCCUAGAGAGAUUAAAGACCAAACCUUUGAGCAGAUGGAGAGCUGAAGUGAUGGGGUCCCAAGGAGCAAAGGUGGGAAAUCAUCUCAGGCCUGGGUCUCCAGGCCUGGCUGUAUCGUGGGCUCCAUUUCCCCUCUAUUUCAUUCUUUCAUUCCAUAUUAUUUUAAAUUACAAAUAUGGUGCAUAUUUAUUGUGGAAAAAAUCCAAACAAUAUAGAAGGAUAGAGAGUGAAAUAUGAAAACUCUUUUUUUUUUAAAUAAAUUUAUUUUUUUCUGCGUCA